rnacentral:precursor_RNA from 1 species
CACACCAACGUACCCCAACAAGGGUGAGAGACGACGAAUCGGCUGCUGGUAUAUACAUACAACUGAGAAGUCGGAUUACCUUUGCUGAUUAUUAACUUGUUUCCAUUGCUGUGAAAUGAAACUUUCAAUGCAAGGGGGCUGGCCUACCAGCUGGUACUAGCAGGAAUGAAGAGCAUAUAUAUAUGAACAUGAUGAUGCAUAUAUGCAGAGCAGCAACAGCAGCAUCGUCGUACCAUCUCAUAUAUAUCAUUGCAAACAUGAGCAGUAGUGGUAGUUCAUGAAUCAUGAUGAAAGCAAGGAAGAGGAAGCUAGCAGUGCUGGACGCGGAUCAGAUGCAGAUCGAUGGAGGCCGGGGCCGGGGGUGUACCUACGUAGUACAUUGCUAUUAUUGUGUCCAUGGAAGGGGGACCAAAGUAUGUAAUGCGUUGCACACCACACACCAGAGCUGGCUCAGCAGCUAGCAGCAGCCUGUGGUGGUGGUGGUACAAUGCAGCGUGUACUGCUGUCGUCCCAGCAGCAAGUUGAAAGGUAAA